CUGGAGAUGAACAGGAGCUUGGGAGGGGACAGAGACAAGAUAGCUGACAAAAAGAGAGAAAACGGACGCUGCAUACAGAAUGAGGUCACACUCAGUAAGAAGAGGUGGGGAAAAGAGGGAAAAGGGAGAAGUUUCCUCCCCCCAAGAGACAGGAAGCACGGCCCCUGCUAAGGGCUCUGUGUGUCCUGAAAGAAAAGCAGGGGCUCUGCAGAUGCGAGAAAUGCAUCAUGGGCUGCAUCACAGCCUCUCGCUGUGAGUAACUCUCUGUCAGCUGCAGAAACACACAGCACGUGUCCUAGGCUCGCAACACAAGCCUGUGACCAUCUGCACCCAGCUCACAGCAAAGCAGGAACCGUGAGGAGAGAUCUCCAAAAGAUGUGCGGGCAGGUGGGAUGGGCCAUGCCGUGUCCCCAUGUCCAUGUCCUCCUGCUGCUGGUGUUUGGUGAGUUGGGGCUGCUUUGGGUAGCAGGGAACCCUGCUUGGAGGAAGAAGCCCAGCACAAAGAGGCUUGAGAUGGUGCCGAGGGUGGAGGUAGAGUACGUGUGGGAUGGAGUCUUGCACCCAAAGCAUGAUUUUGGAAGUAGAGGAGACUGCAUCUGGAAAAGAAAACUUAUCCCAAAUGGAUUUAGGCUUGCUCAAAUGGAGACAGUGGUGAUACAGGAAGGGGAUACACUUGUGGAGUGGUGACUGCUGAAGACUGGAGACAUGGACAGAAACAUGUGGGUGUGCAGGACACUGUCCCUCUAACCAAACCCCUCUCUGCUCCACGGUGCAGGUACUGCUGUGAGCACCCAGGGCAUCUGCAGUUCCACAGCUGAUGGUGAGUGUGAGAAUGGGUCCAGAAAAUGAAGACAUGGUGGGGGAGGAGAUGGGGAGAGAGAAAGGCUUUAUUGCCUCUGAAUUCCCAAUAUCCACCCCAAGAGGGCAGAUUCUCCAUGACUUGGAAUGCAGUGUGUUUUGCAGCUAAUGAUGCUGGUGGAAUCCC
ensembl:lncRNA